rnacentral:rRNA from 1 species
UACGGAGGAUCCAAGCGUUAUCCGGAAUCAUUGGGUUUAAAGGGUCCGUAGGCGGAUCUGUAAGUCAGUGGUGAAAUCUCCCCGCUCAGCGGGGAAACUGCCAUUGAUACUGCAGAUCUUGAAUUAUUGGGAAGUAACUAGAAUAUAUAGUGUAGCGGUGAAAUGCUUAGAGAUUACAUGGAAUACCGAUUGCGAAGGCAGGUUACUACCAAUGGAUUGACGCUGAUGGACGAAAGCGUGGGUAGCGAACAGG